rnacentral:rRNA from 1 species
UACGUAGGGUGCAAGCGUUGUCCGGAAUUAUUGGGCGUAAAGAGCUCGUAGGCGGUUUGUCGCGUCUGCCGUGAAAGUCCGGGGCUCAACUCCGGAUCUGCGGUGGGUACGGGCAGACUAGAGUGCGGUAGGGGAGACUGGAAUUCCUGGUGUAGCAGUGAAAUGCGUAGAUAUCAGGAGGAACACCGAUGGCGAAGGCAGCUCGCUGGGACGGUACUGACGCUGAGGCGCGAAAGCGUGGGGAGCAAACAGG